rnacentral:rRNA from 1 species
CCCUUAGAUGUUCUGGGCCGCACGCGCGCUACAAUGAUGAAUUCAACGAGUUUAUAACCUUGGUUGAAAAGCCUGGGUAAUCUUUUGAACUUUCGUCGUGAUGGGGCUAGACCCUUGCAAUUAUUGGUCUCCAACGAGGAAUUCCUAGUAAACGCAAGUCAUCAGCUUGCAUUGAUUACGUCCCUGCCCUUUGUACACAUUGCCCGUCGCACCUACCGAUUGAAUGGUCCGGUGAAGUCUUCGGAUUGAGACUUUGUUUUCUUCACGGAAAACGCUGUUUUAAAAAGUUGAUUAAACCUUACCAUUUAGAGGAAGGUGAAGUCGUAACA